GGCACCCUUGAAAUCCUCCGUGAUCGGGAUCUGGAAUUGCAAUUAUUUCCCUUGAACGAGGAAUUCCUAGUAAGUGUGAGUCAUCAGCUCACGUUGAUUACGUCCCUGCCCUUUGUACACACCGCCCGUCGCUGCCCGGGACUGAGCCGUUUCGAGAAAAGCGGAGACUGCUGUUUUGAUACCUUUCGGGGUGGAGAUUCUUUGGUGGAAACCGCUUUAAUCGCAGUGGCUUGAACCGGGCAAAAGUCGUAACAAGGUUUCCGUAGGUGAACCUGCGGAAGGAUCAUUA
rnacentral:rRNA from 1 species